UGGCUGAUUCAUUCCGGGAUCCAUUCUUCGAGAAAUAGGACUUUGAACAUCCGGAGGUGUGAGGUUCAGUUCUAAAGUGAGUACACUGUGGGGUUUCAGCAUUAGACGCAGUAGUUCGCCUUCUAGUUCAAGAUGCAGAUAUUUGUGAAGACGUUGACAGGGAAGACCAUCACCCUGGAGGUGGAGAGCUCUGACACGAUUGAUAACGUGAAGACGAAGAUUCAGGACAAGGAGGGGAUUCCUCCGGACCAGCAGAGGUUGAUCUUCGCAGGGAAGCAAUUGGAGGACGGCCGCACUUUGGCUGAUUACAACAUCCAGAAGGAGUCGACCUUGCACUUGGUUCUUAGGUUGAGGGGAGGCAUGCAAAUUUUUGUGAAGACGUUGACAGGGAAGACCAUCACCCUGGAGGUGGAGAGCUCUGACACGAUUGAUAACGUGAAGACGAAGAUUCAGGACAAGGAGGGGAUUCCUCCGGACCAGCAGAGGUUGAUCUUCGCAGGGAAGCAAUUGGAGGACGGCCGCACUUUGGCUGAUUACAACAUCCAGAAGGAGUCGACCUUGCACUUGGUUCUUAGGUUGAGGGGAGGCAUGCAAAUUUUUGUGAAGACGUUGACAGGGAAGACCAUCACCCUGGAGGUGGAGAGCUCUGACACGAUUGAUAACGUGAAGACGAAGAUUCAGGACAAGGAGGGGAUUCCUCCGGACCAGCAGAGGUUGAUCUUCGCAGGGAAGCAAUUGGAGGACGGCCGCACUUUGGCUGAUUACAACAUCCAGAAGGAGUCGACCUUGCACUUGGUUCUUAGGUUGAGGGGAGGCAUGCAAAUUUUUGUGAAGACGUUGACAGGGAAGACCAUCACCCUGGAGGUGGAGAGCUCUGACACGAUUGAUAACGUGAAGACGAAGAUUCAGGACAAGGAGGGGAUUCCUCCGGACCAGCAGAGGUUGAUCUUCGCAGGGAAACAAUUGGAGGAUGGUCGCACCCUGGCCGAUUACAACAUCCAGAAGGAGUCGACCUUGCACUUGGUGCUCCGCCUCCGAGGUGGUUUUCUCUCUGGAUGAGUGUACUCUACUGGCCAAUUCGAAAUCAAACUGCAGCGAUGAUAGUUUCUUACAGUUGCGACGGAUGGAAGUAUCUCUUGUCCAAUUGUAAGGUUGUCUUCUUGCGCAUCAUGCGGUUCUAACUCUGUGAAAUACGAAAUCUGAAUAUCGACAGAGGAAGGUUGGGGACCGAGUAAGUACAGAUCAUCUCAUGUUGCUAUGUUUGUGUGCUAAAAUAGAUUGAGAAUUGUGUGUAGCUUGGCAGAGAUCCAGAGAAUGGAUAUGAUAAAAAUUGCCUUA